GUGGUCAAGUUAUUAAGGGCACAUGGUGGAUGUCUAGGCAUCAGGAGCCGAUGAAGGACGUGGGAGGCUGCGAUAAGCCUCGGGGAGCUGUCAACCGAGCUGAGAUCCGAGGGUGUCCGAAUGGGGAAACCCAGCACCCGUGAUGGGGUGUUACCCGCCGUUGAAUAUAUAGACGGUGUGGAGGGAACGCGGGGAAGUGAAACAUCUCAGUACCCGCAGGAAGAGAAAACAACCGUGAUUCCGUGAGUAGUGGCGAGCGAAAGCGGAGGAGGCUAAACCGUAUGCAUGUCAAGCUGUCAGGUGUUGUGUGUGCGGUGUUGUGGGACCCGUUGUCCAGGGACUGACAUUCCUGGGGAUGCGCGUGGUGGUUAGUGGAAUACGUCUGGGAAGCGUGACCGGAGAGGGUGAGAGUCCCGUACGCGAAAACUGCUGCGUUGUGUUUGGACGGUGUUCCCGAGUAGCAGCGAGCUCGUGGAAUUUGCUGUGAAUCUGCCGGGACCACCCGGUAAGCCUAAAUACUUCCUGGUGACCGAUAGCGGACUAGUACCGUGAGGGAAAGAUGAAAAGUACCCCGGGAGGGGAGUGAAAGAGUACCUGAAACCGUGUGCCUACAAGCCGUCAGAGCGACCUUUCGGGUUGUGAUGGCGUGCCUUUUGAAGAAUGAGCCUGCGAGUUAGUGCUGCGUGGCGAGGUUAACCCGUGUGGGGUAGCCGUAGCGAAAGCGAGUCUGAAUAGGGCGUGUGAGUCGCGUGGUCUAGACCCGAAGCGGAGUGAUCUACCCAUGGCCAGGGUGAAGCGACGGUAAGACGUCGUGGAGGCCCGAACCCACUUAGGUUGAAAACUGAGGGGAUGAGCUGUGGGUAGGGGUGAAAGGCCAAUCAAACUCCGUGAUAGCUGGUUCUCCCCGAAAUGCAUUUAGGUGCAGCGUCGUAUGUUUCACCAUGGGGGUAGAGCUACUGGAUGGUCUAGGGGCCUUACCGGGUUACCGAAAUCAACCAAACUCCGAAUACCGUGGUGUGAGAGUGCGGCAGUGAGACGGCGGGGGAUAAGCUUCGUCGUCGAGAGGGAAACAGCCCAGAACACCAGCUAAGGCCCCUAAGUGUGUGCUCAGUGGGAAAGGAUGUGGGAUUGCCCAGACAACCAGGAGGUUGGCUUAGAAGCAGCCACCCUUGAAAGAGUGCGUAAUAGCUCACUGGUCAAGUGGUCCUGCGCCGACAAUGUAGCGGGGCUCAAGCACACCGCCGAAGCUGUGUCAUUCAUACAAUAGAUCCGCUUUCUUCUUUCGGGAGGAUUGUGUAGUCGUGUGGAUGGGUAGGGGAGCGUCCUGCAUCCAGGGAAGCGGCCGCGUGAGCGAGUCGUGGAGGGUGUGGGAGUGAGAAUGCAGGCAUGAGUAGCGAAAGCAGAGUGAGAAACUCUGCCGCCGGAUGACCAAGGGUUCCUGGGCCAGGCUAAUCCGCCCAGGGUAAGUCGGGACCUAAGGCGAGGCCGACAGGCGUAGUCGAUGGAUAACGGGUUGAUAUUCCCGUACCCGCGUGUGCGCGUCCCUGACGAGGCAGGUGAGACUAACCACCCGAAGCC
rnacentral:rRNA from 1 species